GGGUCAGUAGGUUGGUCGUGCCACCGGUACGUACUGGUCUCACUGAUUCCUCCUUCCUGAAGAACCGUAAUGCCAUUAAUUUGGUGUUGCGGGGAAACAGGACUGUUACUUUGAAAAAAUUAGAGUGUUUAAAGCAAGCUAACGCUUGAAUACAUUAGCAUGGGAUAAUGAAUUAGGACGAUCGAUCCUAUUUUGUUGGUUUCUAGGAUUGACGUA
rnacentral:rRNA from 1 species